ensembl:scaRNA
CACCUCAGUCCCUAGGGUUCCCAGGGGAGCCCACAGGGUUUACUUUCUGUGCUCCAGACUCCAUGUGGGUAGUGUUGCUUUCUUGGAAUCUGAGAUUAUGAAAAAAUUCCAAGAAAAAAUGAGGGCAUGGAUCGUGUC